UGGGCGUUAAGUUGCAGGGUAUAGACCCGAAACCCGGUGAUCUAGCCAUGGGCAGGUUGAAGGUUGGGUAACACUAACUGGAGGACCGAACCGACUAAUGUUGAAAAAUUAGCGGAUGACCUGUGGCUGGGGGUGAAAGGCCAAUCAAACCGGGAGAUAGCUGGUUCUCCCCGAAAGCUAUUUAGGUAGCGCCUCGUGAAUUCAUCUCCGGGGGUAGAGCACUGUUUCGGCUAGGGGGCCAUCCCGGCUUACCAACCCGAUGCAAACUGCGAAUACCGGAGAAUGUUAUCACGGGAGACACACGGCGGGUGCUAACGUCCGUCGUGAAGAGGGAAACAACCCAGACCGCCAGCUAAGGUCCCAAAGUCAUGGUUAAGUGGGAAACGAUGUGGGAAGGCCCAGACAGCCAGGAUGUUGGCUUAGAAGCAGCCAUCAUUUAAAGAAAGCGUAAUAGCUCACUGGUCGAGUCGGCCUGCGCGGAAGAUGUAACGGGGCUAAACCAUGCACCGAAGCUGCGGCAGCGAACGUAUCACUUAAAGCGAUUCAGCGGGUUACGAUUGACGGAGCGAAGCGACGUCAAAGCGUAUACAAAGUCGAGUCGGUUUAAGGAUACGUUCGUUGGGUAGGGGAGCGUUCUGUAAGCCUGUGAAGGUGUGUCGUGAGGCAUGCUGGAGGUAUCAGAAGUGCGAAUGCUGACAUAAGUAACGAUAAAGCGGGUGAAAAGCCCGCUCGCCGGAAGACCAAGGGUUCCUGUCCAACGUUAAUCGGGGCAGGGUGAGUCGACCCCUAAGGCGAGGCCGAAAGGCGUAGUCGAUGGGAAACGGGUUAAUAUUCCCGUACUUGGUGUUACUGCGAAGGGGGGACGGAGAAGGCUAUGUUGGCCGGGCGACGGUUGUCCCGGUUUAAGCGUGUAGGUGUGUGUUCCAGGUAAAUCCGGUUCACUUUAACACUGAGGCGUGAUGACGAGGCACUACGGUGCUGAAGCAACAAAUGCCCUGCUUCCAGGAAAAGCCUCUAAGCAUCAGGUAACAUCAAAUCGUACCCCAAACCGACACAGGUGGUCAGGUAGAGAAUACCAAGGCGCUUGAGAGAACUCGGGUGAAGGAACUAGGCAAAAUGGUGCCGUAACUUCGGGAGAAGGCACGCUGACACGUAGGUGAAGUGAUUUACUCAUGGAGCUGAAGUCAGUCGAAGAUACCAGCUGGCUGCAACUGUUUAUUAAAAACACAGCACUGUGCAAACACGAAAGUGGACGUAUACGGUGUGACGCCUGCCCGGUGCCGGAAGGUUAAUUGAUGGGGUCAGCGCAAGCGAAGCUCCUGAUCGAAGCCCCGGUAAACGGCGGCCGUAACUAUAACGGUCCUAAGGUAGCGAAAUUCCUUGUCGGGUAAGUUCCGACCUGCACGAAUGGCGUAAUGAUGGCCAGGCUGUCUCCACCCGAGACUCAGUGAAAUUGAACUCGCUGUGAAGAUGCAGUGUACCCGCGGCAAGACGGAAAGACCCCGUGAACCUUUACUAUAGCUUGACACUGAACAUUGAGCCUUGAUGUGUAG
rnacentral:rRNA from 1 species